rnacentral:lncRNA from 1 species
AAAGAAUAUAUUCUAAGUGUAAAACCACUUCGAAGUCACUUUGAGUAAUUGUAUUAAGAGAAGUACUUGUGCAUGUUUUCUUUCAAAAAUAUUCCUGGUAAGAGCUGAAUAUUUACAUGCCAGGGUUUCUCAACACUGGUGCCGGGGACACUGGGUGUCAGUUGUGGGGGCAGCUCUGUGUGUGUCAGAUAUUUAGCAGCAUCCCUCGCCUCCAUCCACUAGACGGCAACUGCACCCCCUCCCCUCAACUGUGACAACCGACAUUGCCAGCUGUCUCCUGAAGGCAAAAGUGCCUCCAGCUGAAAAACUCCGUGGUAGGGCUUUAUAUACCAGGAAAUACGGUGAUUGAGGAAACCGCGAGGAAACCGCCAGGGUCCGCAGACACUCAUGCCACUGGGAGAGGAAACAGGAUGAAGCCAUGGACAGCCUGCCCCACAUGGCCCCUGGCCUGUCUCUAGUCAGCACAGCAUGUUCCUGAUCUCAAGGCUCUCACUGCGUCCAGGCGGGGAAGUUAAAUUGCCAUGACAUGCUGCUGCCUAGUCCACAGAGAGAAACGCUGCUUGCUGGAGAGAAGAGCCCGGACAGCAGAGCACCCUCAGCCCUGGCCCCACCCUGAGCAGGUAUUCUGCUUUAUCUUGUUAACACCUUAUGAUGACCUGGAAUCCAUCAGGGCAUCUUUUUUUGGAGGCUCUCACCUGUGGCAUAUGGAAGUUCCCAGGAUAGGUGUCCAAGCGGAGCUGCAGCUGCUGGCUUACACCACAGCCACGCCAGAUCUGAGCCAUAUCUGCAACCACUGCAGCUCACAGCAAUGA